AAAAGAAAGAAACUUUGGGUUGUAGCAGCAUAAUGGGAAUUGAAGUUAGGGCGUAAGGGAGGAGCCACAGUAUAAAGGAAUGUCUAGGCAAGUAGUCAGCAAACUAUGUCCCAUGGAGCCAAAUUUAGCCCAUGACCUGCAAGGUCUCAUGCUGUUGCAUGUGUCAAUCAGUUUAUCAUCAGUAGGACUCAAGCUCUGAUGUUGCACAUUGAUUCUUUUAUUGAGAAUCUCUUUGCAUUAGCUGGUGAUGAAGAACCAGAGGUACGGAAAAAUGUGUGCCGAGCACUUGUGAUGUUGCUCGAAGUUCGAAUGGAUCGCCUGCUUCCUCACAUGCAUAAUAUAGUUGAGUACAUGCUACAGAGGACUCAAGAUCAAGAUGAAAAUGUGGCUUUAGAAGCCUGUGAAUUUUGGCUAACUUUAGCUGAACAGCCAAUAUGCAAAGAUGUACUCGUAAGGCAUCUUCCUAAGUUGAUUCCUGUGUUAGUGAAUGGCAUGAAGUACUCAGAUAUAGAUAUUAUCCUACUUAAGGGUGAUGUUGAAGAAGACGAAACGAUUCCUGAUAGU
rnacentral:sRNA from 1 species